GAAAGCUACUGAGCACGACCUUACUUGAACAGGAUCUGUUCUAUAGGUUGUACUACUGUAUCCUUGAGUGUAAAGGAGACAAGCAACAAAGUCUGGUGGAUGAAACAUGACCUCAGAGCCAGAGCGUGAUUGACGGCUGAGAUUCGCUGCGAAUCUCCUGCUGUGGAGGAUCGUCCCUGACCGGCCGAAAGCCAGUCGGGUUGGCUCUGAGGUUGUCUGACAGACUCAACCCAAUUUUUUUCUUUUUUUUUAUUUCUCUCUUUUUGGUUGUUGUCGUGCGAAGGGUGUUCGAGAUAAUGCCUAAAAGAAAAUUUUGAUGCGGCAUAAGUAGUUUUGUUGAUGCAUGUUUAGUGUUUGAUGAAAGCUGUUCGACGGGAAUGCCUAAAAGAGAUUAGGUUCGACAGAAUGUGGGGGGCGGCGCGGCAGGUGGGGUCGCAGACACCGACGACGUACGAGUCAGUGGCGGGUGGGGAGAACUGGACACGGAUGGACGUGCGGUCGGCGGAGGACGAGGGGCCGAUCCAGAUCGACAAGGACCAAGAAAAGGUCGACGACCCCGUCGCCGGAGACUGGCGAGUGAUAGCUAGUGGUUGGUACAAAUUUACUAUAUUUCUGAUGAAUUAAUGCAUGCAUGCAUGCAUAUGUAUGUUGUUGUGCGCGUAGUUUUAGUUUGUAUGUGAAUUUGUAUGAGUUUGUGUUUAUGUUGUUGUGCGCGUGGUUUUAGUAGUAUGCUUGUUUUGGUGUUUAUGAAUGAGAAUGUAUGCGUUUUGUUUUGUUU